rnacentral:rRNA from 1 species
CUCGUAGGCGGCCAACUAAGUCAGACGUGAAAUCCCUCGGCUCAACCGGGGAACUGCGUCUGAUACUGGAUGGCUUGAGUUCGGGAGAGGGAUGCGGAAUUCCAGGUGUAGCGGUGAAAUGCGUAGAUAUCUGGAGGAACACCGGUGGCGAAGGCAGCAUCCUGGACCGACACUGACGCUGAGGAGCGAAAGCCAGGGGGAGCAAACG